AACGAACGCUGGCGGCAUGCCUAACACAUGCAAGUCGAACGAGACCUUCGGGUCUAGUGGCGCACGGGUGCGUAACGCGUGGGAACCUGCCCUUAGGUUCGGAAUAACUCCCAGAAAGGGGUGCUAAUACCGGAUAAUGUCUUCGGACCAAAGAUUUAUCGCCUUUGGAUGGGCCCGCGUUGGAUUAGCUAGUUGGUAGGGUAAAAGCCUACCAAGGCGACGAUCCAUAGCUGGUCUGAGAGGAUGAUCAGCCACACUGGGACUGAGACACGGCCCAGACUCCUACGGGAGGCAGCAGUGGGGAAUAUUGGACAAUGGGCGAAAGCCUGAUCCAGCAAUGCCGCGUGAGUGAUGAAGGCUUUAGGGUUGUAAAGCUCUUUUACCCGGGAUGAUAAUGACAGUACCGGGAGAAUAAGCUCCGGCUAACUCCGUG
rnacentral:rRNA from 1 species